UACGUAGGGUGCGAGCGUUGUCCGGAAUUAUUGGGCGUAAAGAGCUUGUAGGUGGCUCGUUGCGUCGGGAGUGAAAAACCUGCGGCUUAACCGCAGGCCUGCUUCCGAUACGGGCGAGCUAGAGUUCGGCAGGGGGAGACUGGAAUUCCUGGUGUAGCGGUGGAAAUGCGCAGAUAUCAGGAGGAACACCGGUGGCGAAGGCGGGUCUCUGGGCCGAUACUGACACUGAGAAAGCGAAAAGCGUGGGGGAGCGAACAGG
rnacentral:rRNA from 1 species